rnacentral:rRNA from 1 species
GAUGAACGCUGGCGGCGUGCCUAAUACAUGCAAGUCGAGCGAACAGACGAGGAGCUUGCUCCUCUGACGUUAGCGGCGGACGGGUGAGUAACACGUGGAUAACCUACCUAUAAGACUGGGAUAACUUCGGGAAACCGGAGCUAAUACCGGAUAAUAUAUUGAACCGCAUGGUUCAAUAGUGAAAGACGGUUUUGCUGUCACUUAUAGAUGGAUCCGCGCCGCAUUAGCUAGUUGGUAAGGUAACGGCUUACCAAGGCAACGAUGCGUAGCCGACCUGAGAGGGUGAUCGGCCACACUGGAACUGAGACACGGUCCAGGCUCCUACGGGAGGCAGCAGUAGGGAAUCUGACGCAAUGGGCGAAAGCCUGACGGAGCAGCGCCGCGUGAGUGAUGAAGGUCUUCGGAUCGUAAAACUCUGUUAUUAGGGAAGAACAAAUGUGUAAGUAACUAUGCACGUCUUGACGGUACCUAAUCAGAAAGCCACGGCUAACUACGUG